UACGGAGGGUGCGAGCGUUGUCCGGAAUCAUUGGGCGUAAAGGGCGCGUAGGUGGCGCGGCAAGCGUGCGGUGAAAGCUCGGGGCUCAACCCCGAGUCGGCCGUGCGAACUGCCGCGCUCGAGCACUGUAGAGGCAGGCGGAAUUCCGGGUGUAGCGGUGGAAUGCGUAGAGAUCCGGAAGAACACCGGUGGCGAAGGCGGCCUGCUGGGCAGUGGCUGACACUGAGGCGCGACAGCGUGGGGAGCGAACAGG
rnacentral:rRNA from 1 species